GAUGAACGCUGGCGGCGUGCCUAAUACAUGCCAGUCGAGCGAACAGACGAGGAGCUUGCUCCUCUGACGUUAGCGGCGGACGGGUGAGUAACACGUGUAUAACCUACCUAUAAGACUGGGAUAAUUUCGGGAAACCGGAGCUAAUACCGGAUAAUAUAUUGAACCGCAUGGUUCAAUAGUGAAAGACGGUUUUGCUGUCACUUAUAGAUGGAUCCGCGCCGCAUUAGCUAGUUGGUAAGGUAACGGCUUACCAAGGCAACGAUGCGUAGCCGGACUGAGAGGGUGAUCGGCCACCCUGGAACGGAGCCACGGUCCAGACUACUACGGGACGCAGCAGUAGGGAAUCUUACGCAAUGGGGGAAAGCCUGACGGAGCAACGCCGCGUGAGUGAUGAAGGUCUUCGGAUCGUAAAACUCUGUUAUUAGGGAAGAACAAAUGUGUAAGUAACUAUGCACGUCUUGACGGUACCUAAUAAGAAAGCCACGGCUAACUACGUG
rnacentral:rRNA from 1 species